AUACAGGUCCCUAGUAAAUUACAAAUAUAUCUCUAUAAACUUCAAUUUUUAUAUGUUGUCCCAGUAAAAGUUCUAAUAUUUUUAAAUAUGUCCCUCUAAUUUGUUACUAUUAAUUAUUAAAACACUUUCUAUUUUAUAACUGAAAUGUUCUUUUUGCCAUCACAAAUAUGUCCCUCUAAAAAUUCUAACUUUUAAUUGAAGAGGAGUAAAAAAGUCAAUUCAUCUAUGAUUAACUAAAUUUUUUUAACGGAUUCUAACGGUAGAGACAUAUUUGAAAACAUCGUGAUUUUUACAGGAACAACAUAUAAAAGUUGAACUUUGUAGGGAUGUUUUUGCAAUUUAUUAUGUUGCAGGGACCUGUAUGCAAUUAACUCUUUUUUA
rnacentral:lncRNA from 1 species